CAACGAAUCUUCCGCAAUGGGCGCAAGCCUGACGGAGCAAUGCCGCGUGUGGGAUGAAGUGCCUCCGGCAUGUAAACCACUGUCAGAAGAUAGAAACACUGAUCAUCUUCAAAGGAAGUGGCGACUAACUCUGUGCCAGCAGUCGCGGUAAUACAGAGGCCACGAGCGUUAGUCGGAAUUACUGGGCUUAAAGGGUGCGUAGGCUGUUACUCAAGCGUCCUGUGAAAGCCUCCCGCUCAACGGGAGAACAGCAGGGCGAACUGGGUGACUCGAGGUUGGUAGGGGCUCACAGAACUGUCGGUGGACCGGUGAAAUGGGUAGAGAUCGACAGGAAUGCCGAUGGCGAAGGCGGUGAGCUGGGCCAAAUCUGACGCUGAGGCACGAAAGCGUGGGGAGCAAA
rnacentral:rRNA from 1 species